rnacentral:rRNA from 1 species
CCUACGGGCCGCAGCAGUGGGGAAUAUUGGGCAAUGGGCGCAAGCCUGACCCAGCAACGCCGCGUGAAGGAAGAAGGCUUUCGGGUUGUAAACUUCUUUUAUGAGGGACGAAACAAAUGACGGUACCUCAUGAAUAAGCCACGGCUAACUACGUGCCAGCAGCCGCGGUAAUACGUAGGUGGCAAGCGUUAUCCGGAUUUACUGGGUGUAAAGGGCGUGUAGGCGGGACUGCAAGUCAGAUGUGAAAAUUAUGGGCUCAACCCAUAACCUGCAUUUGAAACUGUAGUUCUUGAGUGAUGGAGAGG